rnacentral:rRNA from 1 species
UGCAGUCGAGCGGUACAGAAAGAAAGCUUGCUUUCUUUGCUGACGAGCGGCGGACGGGUGAGUAAUGCCUGGGAAUAUGCCUUAGUGUGGGGGAUAACUAUUGGAAACGAUAGCUAAUACCGCAUAACGUCUUCGGACCAAAGAGGGGGACCUUCGGGCCUCUCGCGCUAAGAUUAGCCCAGGUGGGAUUAGCUAGUUGGUGAGGUAAAGGCUCACCAAGGCAACGAUCCCUAGCUGGUCUGAGAGGAUGAUCAACCACACUGGAACUGAGACACGGUCCAGACUCCUACGGGAGGCAGCAGUGGGGAAUAUUGCACAAUGGGGGAAACCCUGAUGCAGCCAUGCCGCGUGUAUGAAGAAGGCCUUCGGGUUGUAAAGUACUUUCAGUCGUGAGGAAGGCAUUGUAGUUAAUAGCCGCAGUGCUUGACGUUAGCGACAGAAGAAGCACCGGCUAACUCCGUGCCAGCAGCCGCGGUAAUACGGAGGGUGCGAGCGUUAAUCGGAAUUACUGGGCGUAAAGCGCAUGCAGGCGGUCUGUUAAGCAAGAUGUGAAAGCCCGGGGCUCAACCUCGGAACCGCAUUUUGAACUGGCAGACUAGAGUCUUGUAGAGGGGGGUAGAAUUUCAGGUGUAGCGGUGAAAUGCGUAGAGAUCUGAAGGAAUACCGGUGGCGAAGGCGGCCCCCUGGACAAAGACUGACGCUCAGAUGCGAAAGCGUGGGUGCAGUCGAGUGCAGUCGAGUGCAGUCGAGUGCAGUCGAGUGCAGUCGAGCUGA